AUGUCACCUCUUGCUGCAGUGCAUCAGUAUCUCUCCACUAACAGUGCAAAAAGCACCUUCCUGCAUAAUUCUGGGUUGGUUGUCAAGGUAACCUCGUCCAAAUCGCCUACUGAACAAAAUCUUCCUGUGAGACAGAGUGAUAUAUCUGUGCUCCAGACACAAGUCCAAUCCCUAAUGGACGUUGUUUUUGAAACAAGAAUAGUGGUUGACAAAUGUCUUCAAGAUAUGAAUGGUUUUGAAACCAGACUAUCAGACAUUCGCUUCGUUGUUCAAGAGAAAUGGCAGAAAAAGGUGAAGAUCGUGCUGCUCCAUCAGAUUCUACAGCCUGAACCAUUAGCACUCAGGUCAAAUGAUCUGUGCUUCUAUACAUCUGAUGGUGCUAUUAUCUGCAAGGACUGUAAACUUUAUGCCAACAGGGCUUUUGUUGUGAUACAUCAUUUAUGA
rnacentral:rRNA from 1 species